rnacentral:rRNA from 1 species
UAGGGAAUCUUCGGCAAUGGACGAAAGUCUGACCGAGCAACGCCGCGUGAGUGAAGAAGGUUUUCGGAUCGUAAAACUCUGUUGUUAGAGAAGAACAAGGACGUUAGUAACUGAACGUCCCCUGACGGUAUCUAACCAGAAAGCCACGGCUAACUACGUGCCAGCAGCCGCGGUAAUACGUAGGUGGCAAGCGUUGUCCGGAUUUAUUGGGCGUAAAGCGAGCGCAGGCGGUUUCUUAAGUCUGAUGUGAAAGCCCCCGGCUCAACCGGGGAGGGUCAUUGGAAACUGGGAGACUUGAGUGCAGAAGAGGAGAGUGGAAUUCCAUGUGUAGCGGUGAAAUGCGUAGAUAUAUGGAGGAACACCAGUGGCGAAGGCGGCUCUCUGGUUUGUAACUGACGCUGAGGCUCGAAAGCGUGGGGAGCAAACA